UACGAAGGGGGCUAGCGUUGCUCGGAAUCACUGGGCGUAAAGGGUGCGUAGGCGGGUCUUUUAAGUCAGGGGUGAAAUCCCAGAGCUCAACUCUGGAACUGCCUUUGAUACUGGGUAUCUUGAGUAUGGAAGAGGUAAGUGGAAUUGCGAGUGUAGAGGUGAAAUUCGUAGAUAUUCGCAGGAACACCAGUGGCGAAGGCGGCUCACUGGCCCGAUACUGACGCUGAGGCACGAAAAGCGUGGGGAGCAAACAGG
rnacentral:rRNA from 1 species